rnacentral:rRNA from 1 species
UACAGAGGGUGCAAGCGUUAAUCGGAAUUACUGGGCGUAAAGCGCGCGUAGGCGGUUUGUUACGUUGAAUGUGAAAUCCCCGGGCUCAACCUGGGAACUGCAUCCAAAACUGGCAAGCUAGAGUAGUGCAGAGGGUGGUGGAAUUUCCUGUGUAGCGGUGAAAUGCGUAGAUAUAGGGAGGAACACCAGUGGCGAAGGCGGCCACCUGGGCUCAUACUGACACUGAGGUGCGAAAGCGUGGGGAGCAAACAGG